rnacentral:rRNA from 1 species
AGCGAACGCUGGCGGCAGGCUUAACACAUGCAAGUCGAACGCCCCGCAAGGGGAGUGGCAGACGGGUGAGUAACACGUGGGAACGUACCCUUUGGUUCGGAAUAACUUGGGGAAACUCAAGCUAAUACCGGAUAAGCCCUUAUGGGGAAAGGUUUACUGCCGAAGGAUCGGCCCGCGUCUGAUUAGCUAGUUGGUGAGGUAAUGGCUCACCAAGGCGACGAUCAGUAGCUGGUCUGAGAGGAUGAUCAGCCACACUGGGACUGAGACACGGCCCAGACUCCUACGGGAGGCAGCAGUGGGGAAUAUUGGACAAUGGGGGCAACCCUGAUCCAGCCAUGCCGCGUGAGUGAUGAAGGCCUUAGGGUUGUAAAGCUCUUUUACCCGGGACGAUAAUGACUGUACCGGGAGAAUAAGCCCCAGCUAACUUCGUGCCAGCCGCCGCGGUAA